GUCGACCGCGACACAGGCAGAUCUCGAGACGUUGCUCGGAAAGACACUCGACGACGUUCGAGCAGGUUCUCACCUACUCGAGAUCCGGGAGUUGCCGCGCGCCCGCGAAAAUUCAAUUGGCAAUCGAGUGAUCGAUUUUUCGCGCGCGCGAUUUUUCGCACCCUGACACACCACACAUACACAUACACGCGUGCGUGAAACGUGGCAUUCGCGGAUUGGCGAAUGGUAGACGGUGGAUGGGUGCGAAUAUUCGUGGUGGCUCGUUGCUCUGUACCUGGCAGCGGCAGGCGGCCGGGAAGUUCGGGAACAAGCGGCAGGCGGGGACUCUCCUGUCUUCAGUACGCGCGCGGACGACGACACUCGACGACGACGACGACGACAGCCGAUGCGCUGAUACGAACGCGGGCGGCGGUAUGCGCGGGGUGGCGACGGUACCGCAAUUGGCACCGGCGCCGACGCCGGCGUCCCAUUGCCUGACGGCGCAAAACUACUACAUCCUCCACGCCGGGAACGGCAUUCAGGGUAACAAUGACGGCAUCGGCGGCGGUAUCGUCGCCACCGCCGUCGCGGACGGCGGCAAUCCGUCGUCGAUGACGCGGUACGGUCGCUUCACGCCGACCGCUUCGCCGCACCUGGUGGACCUGAGCGGGCCAUCGCCGGCGGACCACCAUCAACAGCAGCAUCACGGCCUACCGUCCGGUUACCAUCAUCCGCACAGCCAGGCGGAGUACACCGAGCUGAAUCAUCAUGUGAUGUUCAAGAAUCCAGAGGAGACACGGUAUCAUCACCAUCUCCAUCACGGCCAGGACGGCCAUCACGCGGACACCAAGAUGAUGCGGGAGCUGCAAUUGGCGGCCGACUACGAGCGGCGUCUCCACUCGACCGACAACUCGCCCGAGUUCCUGUCGGACUACAGUAGGGACCAUGAGCAGCAGAGCCUGUGCCUGACGCCGUCCUCGCAGAGCGUGUACUCCCCCGGCUGCGGCGCCGACGAGACGACCAUGGGCUCCGUCCAGUCGGUCCAGAGGGGCGCCUACCAUCAGAUGGCGGAGUACAAACCGGACGUGAUCGAGGACGUCGGGACGUACGGUGGCUGUGAGCAGACCGCGGAGCUCGGCCACGUGGCCGAGCCUUCGUCGUCGACGACGAAGGAGUACGGGGGUGGCAGGCAGGGCGUCAAUAUCAGGGGCACGGGUGUCAAGAGGAAGCGGCGACACAGCGGCAACAACAACAGCAACAACAGCAACAGCAGCGGCAACAGCAGCUGUUGCAACGGCAACGGCGAGUCCGACGACGGCGAGGCGGCCACGACCGCGGCGGCCUCGUCCACGCGGGCCAAGAUGCGCCGCAAGAACGACCAGGAGCUGCAGAAUCAACGGGCGAUGGCGAACGUCCGGGAACGCCAGCGGACGCAGAGCUUGAACGAGGCGUUCACCGCGCUCCGUAAGAUCAUACCGACCCUGCCGAGCGACAAGCUCAGCAAGAUACAGACGCUAAGGCUUGCCACGCGCUACAUAGACUUCCUCUUCCAAAUGCUCAAGACCAAGGACACCGACGAGGCCGAGUGCGAGAACACAGCACUGAGAAACGCCCGGAGCGCGAUUUCAUCAGCUGUGAGAGACAUGUCGUCAAGUAUGAUAGUGCAUGAGAAACUGUCGUACGCGUUCAGCGUCUGGAGAAUGGAGGGUGAUUGGAAAUCGAAUCCUAUGUAGAAUAUAGGAUAUAAUAAGUUUAGGAUAAAAUUUUAAUCAGAAUAGAGCAAAUUCGAUAGAUUCGAGACACUCUGCGUGUGAUUCCUGCGCACUGAAAGGCUACUUGAAAAGAAAGAAAAAAAAAAAGAUAACGCUCGCUCGCACGCGCGCACGGUCGUCUGCAUCAGCCGUCACUUCACCGCUCGGUUUGCAGCACGGAUUUCAAAAUCAUAGAGAGGAGAUAUCGAAUCGCGAGGAUGCGGAGGUCACUCGCGAUCAAUCAGCGAGGUUACACCUCAUUCCCGUCUCUCCCUGCUCGGAAAUCGAUCGGGCCCGAUAAUCUUUCGAAGCUUUCGCCGACAGGGUCUUCCCUCGGGGGAGUCACGUAGCGGCGGGAGAGAGAUAAGAAAGACGUCGAGAAUGACCAUGACAGCUGCUUCACUUCGCGGCGAGGGCCUCAGACAACGAGCGGAGACGCGCGGAUUAUUCAAGGACGGAUUCUCCUCUCUUUCGGUCCCUCCCUUCUCCCUUUCCUCCCAUCAAUCCUCCCCCCCUCCCCCGUUUCUCUCGCGUAUCGGUGUAUAAUUGUUCCUAAAAAUAAGUUUCGCAUGCGAGCGAGCGGCUCGUCUGCCACGGCGCUGACAAAACGCGUCCAGCAAACGUGUAUCCGACAAUAAUUCUUAAUCGACGUCGUCGCGUCGGCGAUUGCGAGGAUAUCCUCCCGAACUCUCACCGCGGGAAAGACGCGAGACGUGUCUCUUGCAUCUUAUUGUAUGCGAAUUUAUAUGUAAAAGAAAAAAAAA
rnacentral:misc_RNA from 1 species